rnacentral:rRNA from 1 species
UACGGGGGGGGCAAGCGUUGUUCGGAAUUACUGGGCGUAAAGGGCGCGUAGGCGGGCGGCCGCGUCCGGGGUGAAAUCCCACGGCUCAACCGUGGAACGGCCUCGGAUACGGGCGGCCUCGAGGGGGGUAGGGGCAUCUGGAACUGUGAGUGGAGCGGUGAAAUGCGUUGAUAUUCACAGGAACUCCGGUGGCGAAGGCGAGGUGCUGGACCCCAUCUGACGCUGAGGCGCGAAAGCCAGGGGAGCGAACGGG